GCCGCUGUAGCUCAACGGACAGAGCAGGGGUUUCCUAAACCUCAGAUGUAGGUUCGACUCCUACCAGUGGCG
rnacentral:tRNA from 1 species